UGCAGAGGGUGCGAGCGUUGUCCGGAAUCACUGGGCGUAAAGGGCGCGUAGGUGGUGGCUUAAGCGUGCGGUGAAAGCUCGGAGCUCAACUCCGAGUCGGCCGUGCGAACUGGGCUCACUGGAGCAUAGUAGAGGCAGGUGGAAUUCCGGGUGUAGCGGUGGAAUGCGUAGAGAUCCGGAGGAACACCGGUGGCGAAGGCGGCCUGCUGGGCUAUGGCUGACGCUGAGACGCGAAAGCGUGGGGAGCAAACAGGG
rnacentral:rRNA from 1 species